AGCGAACGCUGGCGGCAGGCUUAACACAUGCAAGUCGAGCGCCCCGCAAGGGAGCGGCAGACGGGAGAGUAACACGUGGGAACGUACCCUUUGGUUCGGAACAACCCAGGGAAACUUGGGCUAAUACCGGAUAAGUCCGUAAGGAGAAAGAUUUAUCGCCAAUGGAUCGGCCCGCGUCUGAUUAGCUAGUUGGUGAGGUAAUGGCUCACCAAGGCGACGAUCAGUAGCUGGUCGAGAGGAUGAUCAGCCUCACUGGGACUGAGACACGGCCCAGACUCCUACGGGAGGCAGCAGUGGGAUAUUGGACAAUGGGCGCAAGCCUGAUCCAGCCAUGCCGCGUGGGUGAUGAAGGCCCUAGGGUUGUAAAGCCCUUUCGGCGGGGAAGAUAAUGACGGUACCCGCAGAAGAAGCCCCGGCUAACUUCGUGCCAGCCGCCGCCGUAAU
rnacentral:rRNA from 1 species